rnacentral:lncRNA from 1 species
CUUUUUUUUUUUUUUGAGACGCAGUCUUGCUCCGUCGCCCAGGCUGGAGUGCAGUGGCGUGAUCUCGGCUCACUGCAACCUCCGCCUCCCAGGUUCAAGUGAUUCUCCUGCCUCAGCCUCCUGAACAGCCGGGAUUACAGGCACAGGCCACCACACCCGGCUAAUUUUUGUAUUUUUAGUAGAGACGGGGUUUCCCCAUGUUGGUCAGGCUGGCCUCGAACUCCUGACUUCAGAGGAUCAGCCUGCCUCAGCCUUCCAAAGUGCUGGGAUUACAGGCAUGAGGUCAGGAGUUCGAGACCAGCCUGGCCAACACAGUGAAACCCCGUCUGUACUAAAAAUACAAAAAUUAGCCAGGUCUGGUGGCAGGCGCCUGUAAUGCCAGCUACUCGGGAGGCUGAGAUGGGAGAAUCGCUUGAACCCGGGAGACAGUGGUUGCAGUGAGCCAAGAUCGCACUACUGCACUCUAGCCUGGACGGCUAAGCGAGACUCCGUCUCAAAAAAAAAAAAUUAAAAUAUUCGCAUGCCAUAAAAUUCCCCCUUGUAGAACCUGGAGAAUACGAUGCCAAGUGAAAUAGGCCAGACGCUGAGAGAGAAAAACACUGCGUAAUCCCACGUAUUGUGGAGUCCAAAAACAAAACAAGCAAAGAACCCCAAAUACAGCCAGGCACGGUGGCUCAUGCCUGUAAUCCCAGCGCUUUGGGAGGCCGAGGCGGGUAAAUCACCUGAGGUUGGGAGUUCAAGACCAGCCUGGCUAACAUGGUGAAAGCCCGUCUCUACUAAAAAUAUAAAAUUAGCCGGGCGUGGUGGUGCAUGCCUGUAAUCCCAGCUACUCAGGAGGCUGAGGCAGGAGAAUCGCUUGAACCCGAGAGGCAGAGGUUGCAGUGAGCUGGGAUCGUGCCACCUGCACUCCAGCCUGGGGAACAGAGCGAGACUCCAUCUCAAAACAAACACACAAUCAAAACCUCCCAAAUACAUAGAAACAGAAAGCAGAAGAGCGGUUAGUGGUAGAGGAGGGAAAGGAAGGGGGAGAUGGGGGUCAGAGGAUACAUAGUUUCAGCUGUGUUGGAAACACUGAGAGAUGUCACUGUAGCCUGUGAACCAGCUAAAGAUAUUGUACUAUGGGCUGGGCACAAGGGCUCAUGCCUGUAAUCCUAGUGCUUUGGGAGGUUGAGGUGGGAGGAUUGCUGAAGGCCAGAAGUUUGCAACCAGCCUGGGCAACAUAGCAAGACCCUAGGCCAGAAGUUUGCAACCAGCCUGGGCAACAUAGCAAGACCCUAUCUCUACAAAAAAUUUAAAAAUUUGCUGGGCAUGGUGGCUCCAGGGAUCACGUGAGCCCAGAAGGCAGAGGCUGCAGUGAACCGAGAUCACACCACUGCACUCCAGCCCGGGCAACAGAGCAAGACUCUGACUCAAAUAAAUAAAUCAAAAUAAAAUAAAAUAAAUAAUAGAAACUGAAAACAAAAACCAGGCCUCACCCACAGUGUCGAAGGCAUGCAUCUUCUAGGGUUAUUAAGGUGCUGGUUGUUAUUUUUGCUUGUAAUUCUGAAAAGGCUGAUAGAUUUUAUAGCCCAGUAUCUCCAAGCAGCGCCCAAGGACACAAACAGCCAGACCCUCAGCUCCCAAACCUGGGGAUUUGCAACAGACAAACACAGAGCUGGGAAAUUCCGCAGCAGGGCAGAUGAGGGAUCGAUCUGAGUCCCAUGAUCCUCGGCCCUGCUGAGGUCCCAGGAGGCUGCACACAUUGAAAUCCACAUCCUGAGUGGGGCGGAGGGAGGAGGAGAAUCCCAGGAGCUGGGGGGCCCCCCUGGUUUAUACCGUCUUCCCCAUCAGGAGUUUAUCCUGGUGUCUGGAGUGAGAAGGGAUCGAAGUCUAUUUUUUUCCAGAUGAAUGUAGGGUCUCCCCCUCGGCACUGUGGGCAUUGGGGCCGGAUCAUUCUCUGGGGUGGGGCUGUCCUGGGCACUGCGGGGAGCUGAGCAGCGUCCCUGGCCUCCACCCACCCCAUGCCAGGGGCAUCCCCCAUCUAGAGCUGUUCCGUUGCCUUGAAUUUCUGCCCUCUGGCCUCCCCUGUCCUCAUCCUUAUGGGAUCUUCAGAUGGUGCCCUUGAGGCCCAGGGCCCGUGUCCCCUCCUCACUCAGCCCUCCUAUCCACAGGUGACUCACAGUCCCCUUGGCACCACCCAGGCGCUGUCCCUGGCCUCGCCCAUGGCUAACCUUGGCAGGCAUCCCCAACAGAGGCGAGGGGACAGCUCUCGCCUGCCUCGGCGAGCCCGGGUUCCAGAAGAUGUGCCCAGCACCCUGGGCCCCCCACCGCCGGGUCUGGGACACAGAUGCUCUCCUCCAAACCUCCCAUUCAGACCCUCGCUGUGGCGGGGGCGGGGCCGUGUCUUUUGAGACUCUGCAUAUGCACGAGGGGGUGAGUUUGAGUGAGGCGGUCUCCAUGCAGAGGAAGGUCUUUAUUUAGGAAGCCAGGUGGGGGCGGGGCCGGCUGGGGAGGAGAGGCGGAGAGGAAAGACGAGCUUCUGCAGAUUUCAAACCUGUCAUUUCUUUUCUGACGCAUACCCUCCCCUCCCGCUUCAUGACAAGCUCUGUUCCC